CGGAGCUCCGGGGCCUAACCCGGUGCACCCGGCGGUUCUCAGGCAAGACCUCGAGUCUCCUUUUGACGUGGCUCUGAUGGUUCCGAAGCUGCAGAAGGGUACAGAACCACUCUCGAGUUUUCUGACCCAGCCGCUCAUGCCCCCUGGAUGGUAACUCGCCAGGCUCCUCUAUCCAUGGGAUUUUUCAGGCAAGAAUAUUGGAAUGGGUAGCCAUUCCCUCCUCCAUGGGAUCUUCCUGACCCAGGAUCCAACCCAAGUCUCCUGUGUCUCCUGCUGCAUCACAGGCAGAUUCUUUACCACUGAGCCACAACUCCAUAAAAAUAUGGACCAUUGCUAUUGAGGAAAUUCCCUCAAUUAUAUUUUUUAAGAGCUAGUAUAAUAAACCUAUUUAUAAAUGUG